GACGAACGCUGGCGGCGUGCUUAACACAUGCAAGUCGAACGAAAAGAGGGAAAGAGCUUGCUCUUUCCGGAAUUGAGUGGCAAACGGGUGAGUAACACGUAAACAACCUGCCUUCAGGAUGGGGACAACAGACGGAAACGACUGCUAAUACCGAAUAAGUUCCAAGGGCCGCAUGGCCCAUGGAAGAAAAGGUGGCCUCUACCUGUAAGCUAUCGCCUGAAGAGGGGUUUGCGUCUGAUUAGCUGGUUGGAGGGGUAACGGCCCACCAAGGCGACGAUCAGUGGCCGGGCUGAGAGGAUGAACGGCCACACUGGAAUUGAGACACGGUCCAGACUCCUACGGGAGGCAGCAGUGGGGAAUCUUCCGCAAUGGGCGAAAGCCUGACGGAGCAACGCCGCGUGAGUGAUGACGGCCUUCGGGUUGUAAAACUCUGUGAUCCGGGACGAAAAGGCAGAGUGCGAAGAACAAACUGCAUUGACGGUACCGGAAAAGCAAGCCACGGCUAACUACGUG
rnacentral:rRNA from 1 species